UCACGACACCGAAACGAAAUGGACGUCGAAACAAAAAACGAAGAAUAUUUUCAGAUUAUUUCUAGUGACAGUGAAGAGAACACAGUACCCGCAUCUAAGAAUAAGAAAGAUAAAAAGAAACAUAAAAAGCAUAAACACAAACACAAGCAUGAUAAAGGGUCAGACAGGCAUCGACAUAAACACAAGCGGAGAAAAACAAGAGAAAAUCGAUCAGAUGAUGAGAGUGAUGUGGUCAGUGAAUCUAAACGUCGCAGAUUUGCUGAGGAGCCAGAAUAUGGCAAUGAAGGUGGCUUUGAAGAAUCUGAUUUGGAAAAGUUAGAAGCAGCGAGAGCUGCACUUAGAGCUGAAUUAAAUGGUGUAUCAGAUGACAGGUAUGAUGCCCUGUUGGAGGAACAAUAUAAUGCGCUUAGUGCUCAGUUAAAGGAGUUUUCUGAUCAACAGGCUGAUUCUGGUGCUGAAAGAACUGAUAGAAAUGAAGAUCAGAUGGACACAGCAGAUUAUUUCCGACCAGAGUUAGGACUUGCUAUCACUAUUAAAGGUGAUGCUCGAGAUGAAAGUAGGUAUGUCGCUGGUCGAGGAUCAUCAAGUGGAGCUGCCAAACGGCAAAGAAAACACAAAGAAGAAGCAGGUAUAUCUCAGGGGAACAGUAAUGUUCACACUAGUAUUAAUGUAGAUGCUGUUGGAAUGAGUCAGUCUGCCUCAAUUAAUUUGAUUGCAAGUUAUGGUUCUAAUGAAAAUAGUGAAUCAGAAGAAGAAGGGGAAAUUGGCCAUGAAGAGACAGGUAAAGAUGAAUUAGCGGAUGAACUAUUAGAAUAUGCAAUGAAUGAAGAUGAAUAUUCCAGGAAAUACAGAACUGAAAGCUCAAGUCAUAGAAAAGAAGAGACUUUUAAAAGUUUUGAAAGAGAAUAUGAAGAAAUUAGAAAAAGAAGGGAGCGGGAAAAGGAAAAGAAGAGGGAACGUGAGAAAAAGGAAAAAGAAAGGGCAGAGAGGAAAGAACGAGAGAGACGAAAAGAAAAAGAAAAGAAAGAAGCAAGAAGGAAAGAAAAAGAGGAUGCUAAAAGACAGAAAGAAAACCAGAGGGCAGCUGAGAAAAUUGCAGAAAGGGAAAAAGAAAGAUCAAGAUCAAAGUCAAGGAAUGUGGAGUCACGACAAGAUGUUCGUGAUGAGAGAAGACGCGACCCGAGACCCGACGAUCGUCCAAGAUUUGAUGAACAUCGUAGACCAGAGAGUCAUCAACGCCCAGAGGAUCGCCAUAGAAUGGAAGAAGCACGUAGACAGGAAGAUCGUGAAAGGGACAGAGCCACAGAGCGGGAAAGAGAUCUAAACAGGGGUCGCGAUACUAGAGAUCCAAGAAGAGAAAGAAGUGGAUCACGCAGCAGGAGAAGGUCUCGUGAACGACAGUUUAGCCCAUACAGACGACGAAUGGAUCGACGAUCAAGAUCACGUGACAGAAGAAGUAGGUCACGUGAUCGUAAGAAGGUGGAAGAUCAAGAUAAAUUCAAGGGUAGUUUGUCAGAAGGGUUGUUUGUACAGAAAGAUCAGUCAUCAGAUGAGGAACAUGUUGUUGACAUUGACCCAGAAGAGGAGGAGGAUGAGGAGACAUUAAUUGAAAGGCGAAGAAAAGAAAGAGAGGCACUUUUACAGAAAUUAAAACAAAAUGAAGCACAGGAAGAUCAGCUUGAGGCUCAAGCAGCUAACCAGUCUGUGGAUAAACCAGAGGAGAUAGAGUCCCAGUCUACAGGUAUUAUCAUAGACAUGGAACCAGUCCAGUCUCUACAACAACAACAACAAGCUGAAAGCGUUGAUGGCCCACAGAGCCCAGAUGCACAAGCUAGUCCUCAUACCUCAACUAGCGACAGUUCUAGCAGUUCAUCAUCAUCAUCUUCAUCAUCAUCAUCAGAUAAUAGUGACAAUGAAACAGCAGAUAGACAUGAGAGAAAGAAAAUAGAGAAAAAGAAAGUUAAAGAAAUAAUAAAACUGUAUGAUAAAUAUUCUGCAGAUAAAACUUCUGAUUAUGACUCUGAAAGAAAAAGAAGAGAGAUUAGUAGAGAUCAGAGAUCAAGAACUAAAGAAGUUAGUGAUAAUGAGAAGUUCUAUAAGGAGGGAAGCAAAGAAAGAUAUAAAGUUGGUAAGAAUGAAGAAGAUGAAAUGGAAAGUGAUGACAACAAGAAUGUUGAGACUGUGAGAGAGGAAAGAAAGAACAGAGAAGAGAAAACUACAGAUAGUGAAGAAGAAAUGAGACAAAGAAUUAUGAACAGAAUGAAAAAUGGAAGUAGAGGGAAAGGUGAGAAUAGAAAUGAUGAUUCUGAUGAAGAUAGAAAAGAUAGAAAGAAAAAUAAAAGGGAUGAUAGGGAUGAUAAAAGGAGUGAGAGAAGAAAGAAGAGAGAUAGUAGUGAAGAGCUUGAGAGAAGUUAUAAAAAGAUUGAAAAGAAAAAAGGGAAAAGAAAGGAAGAGUCCAAGUAUGAGAGAAAAGAUAGAACUGAUGAUUCCAGAAGGAAGAAGUACGAAUAUUCAUCAGAGAGCGAUCAGGACAGAAAACGUGAUAAAUACAGAAAAGACGCUAGAAAGAAAACAAGAAGAGACAGUGAUGAAGACAGGUAUGACAGAAGGAAAAGAAGCAGUCGAUACAGCAGUGAUGAUGAUUAUUAUAGAAAAGAUAAUCAAGGUAGAGAAAGGCGAAAAACUUCAAGAAGAUACAGCAGUUCUAGCGAUGAUGAUAGUGACUCUGAUUACAAAGAUAGAAGAACUAAACAAGAUUCUAGAAAAGAUAAAUAUGAAAGACCAAGGGACAGAAGUGAUAAAGAUAAGAAAAAAGAGAAAUCUGAAGACAAGGCCAUAGUGGGAAGUGAAUCUGUUCAAAAAGAUGAGUCGAAAAUAUUUGAUAAUCUGGAAGAUGAAAAUACCACAGAUUUUGAGGAAAUUGUGAAACAGAAACGACUGUCUCUAGAGGGAUUUAAUGAAGGGGAUAGUAAGGAUGCAGAGACGACGGAAAAAACAUCAAAAGGUUUAGACAUGUUUUCAGAGGAUGCAGAUAUGUUCUCUGAAAAUUAUAAUUCACCAAAUCUGUCGGCCUACAAGACAGGCAAGAAUGAGAACCAAACAUUGAUGGACAACUGGGAUGAUGCUGAAGGAUACUAUAGGGUUCGUAUAGGUGAGAUUUUGGAUAAACGUUACACAGUAUAUGGGUACACAGGACAGGGGGUUUUCAGUAAUGUUGUCCGUGCACGAGAUCAGGCACGAGGAAAUCAAGAAACAGCCAUCAAAAUCAUCAGAAAUAACGAGAUGAUGCACAAGACUGGUUUGAAAGAGCUUGAAUUUUUACGGAAGUUGAAUGAUGCGGAUCCCGAUGACAAGUUUCACUGUCUACGAUUGUACCGACACUUCUUUCAUAAAAACCAUCUCUGUCUGGUGUUUGAGUCUCUCAGCAUGAAUCUCCGUGAAGUGAUGAAGAAAUAUGGCAAGAAUAUAGGUCUACAUAUCAAGGCCGUGAGAAGUUAUUCACAACAACUAUUGAUGGCACUCAAGCUUCUGAAGAAAGCCAGUUUACUACAUGCUGACAUCAAACCUGAUAACAUACUGGUAAAUGAUUCAAAAUUACUACUGAAACUAUGUGAUUUUGGUUCAGCAUCACAUGUAUCAGAGAAUGACAUUACACCAUACCUUGUCAGUAGAUUCUACAGGGCUCCAGAAAUAAUAAUGGGAAAUGGCUAUGACCAUGCCAUAGACAUGUUUUCUGUUGGCUGUACGAUCUACGAACUUUACACUGGGAAAAUAUUAUUCCCAGGGACGUCAAACAACGAGAUGCUGAAGUUCAUGAUGGAUGUGAAAGGGAAAAUACCAAAUAAGAUUAUACGUAAGAGUAUGUUUAGGGAUCAACAUUUUGAUGCAAAUUACAACUUCCAGUAUCAUGAAGUGGACAAAGUUACACACAGGGACAAAAUCACAGUGUUGAGUACAAUAUCUCCGUCACGUGAUCUGUUGGCCGAACUUGUUGGUUAUCAACGUCUGCCCGAAGACCAGAUGCGCAAAGUUAAACAGCUGAAAGAUUUGUUAGAAGGCAUUCUUAUGUUGGACCCCGCCAAGAGGAUUUCAAUCAAUGCAGCCCUUGCUCACCCAUUCAUACAGGAAAAGAUAUAAGGGGAGAUCAUUCUAUAUGACUGCAGACUGAGUUAGGGAACUUGGUAGGAAUUAUGUCUAUAUAAUUCACUUACAUUGUGUUUGCAAAUGUAUAACCGAAGAAAACUAGUUACAGUUUUUUUACAUGUAGAAAGUGUAUUUUCCUUUUAAUUAAUAAUACUUUUUUUGAAGAAAAUGUGAUUCAUUACUAUUGGAUGUGUACUAGGUAAGGUAUAUGUUUUCAUUUCUAUAUUUUGCAACAUUGAAUGAUGACUUUUAUAUAUAAAUGUAAUAUGUUUGAGGUUUAUUUUGAUACAUAGUAUUUAUGUUUUCAUUCAAAUUUUACAGAACAGAAGUAAUUUGUAUUGGAAAGCUGUUUUAAGUCUUAUUUUUGAUUGGUCAUGUAAUUGUUAGAUAAAAUUCAAGAUUAAUGAAUUUAACAUGGAAACUUAACACAUCUGUUUAACUCAGCUAGAACAUAGUGCCCAACACAUGAGACUUUAAUGAUUAUUUUUGCAGAUUUAUUCUCAGAAAUUCCAUGGUGACGUUUUCUACAAACCAGUUGUCAGUUUUUGCUGAAUAAUGAAAAAGAUAAGUGCAGAAGUGCCAAAGUGAAGUGAAUUCAUUUUAAAAGAAACUGUCUAGUUUUCACAUUGAAAUACAAAUUGAAGUGCCCAUUUCUUUUCUAUUAAAUGGUAAAAAACUGAAACAUUUUUGGACAUUUACAGUUAAGUUUUGUGAUGCUGUAAAAUGUAAAGACAAAUUGUUAAGACAAACUAUCAUUUAAACUUUUUCCUGGAGGCUGUAUGAUACAUUCAGAAAUCAAGAAAUUUUGUGCUGUCUGAAAAUUGUUAUUGUCCACUCAAAGAUGUCACAGAGUGUUUUGAUAAUGUAUUGAUAUUUUAUGCAGGUCGAUUAGAAGAUGGUGAUAUUUUGAAUUCCUUGGUCCAGAAAGAGUAAAACUUUUUGGUAAUCUAUUUUUCUAUUGAGAGAGUGAUUUUUGUGUUAGUGUUCAUGUUAAUAUAAUUAACAGUUAAUGAAAAGAAAUCAUGUAGAAAUUGUAAGAAAUUUUAUUUCAGUUUGAAAAAGUUAAAAUGCUGCUUGAGUUAUGUGAUGUUGAUAUUUUUCUUUAUGUAAUAAAAUACUGUAUGAAUUUUACUUUCUUUUACAACCCCUGGCAACCCUGUCAAGGUCAGAUGAUGAUGAAAGCAUCUAGAAUACAACAAAACGAUCUUACACAGACCAGAAAAAAAGGUUCAUGUGCAGAAAAGCGGGAACAAUUUCACGUAAAACUUGUAUACCAAAUGUACUGUGACCCAUGAAGAAAACACAGUGGUGAAAGAAAAACGAGGCAUUAGUAUGAAUGCUGGAUAACUUGUAAAUGAUACUUGAGCUGUUUUCUUUCACCACUGCUCAUUAGUAGAUUCAUUAGCAAAACAAUUCAGUUAACCUUUUUUGUUGGUUACAUGAUUUCUCAAAACAUUUUAAAGUACAGCUGUUGAUUUGCUAUGCAUUCAAUUGCCUUAUAAAAUGUUCCAUUAUAUGUCACAGUAUUUAGACCAUUACUUCGAAAACAUUCAUGAUGAGCCAUGUGCUGUUUGACUAGUAGAGAAAAUAGUUCUGUCAAAACAUUAAUUGUGAGCCAUGUGUUCUUCGAUUUAAAGAAAAAGUAGUUCUGUCAAACAUUCAUGAUGAGCCAUGUGCUAUUAGACUUGAAGAGAAAAUAGUUCUGUCAAAACAUACAUUGUGAGCCAUGUGACCUUCGGUUCAAAGAAAUAGUUGUUCUGUCAGAUAUUCAUGACUCAUAUCUUACCUGACUUGAAGGGUUUCUUAGACCAGUACAACAGCCCGUGAGAAGAGUUAUAUUUAGUUUGCCAUAAUAGUGUAGACUGGUUCGACUCACUGUUUUGUUAUGAACCAGAUGUGUUGUUUCAGAGUAUAAAUCAAAACAAGGAUGAGCUGUACUUGUAAUAUGUAGAAUUUCGUAUUGUCAGUCUGUAAAUCGAGCUAGAACGUACUUAUCUGAGAUACUUUAACUGACUUGGCCAUACACUAGUUGAAUCAUGUCCUUUAAAAAGUGAAAAGACUACAGAAAGUGUUAGUAAUAAAUGUGACUUAGCAAUGAUUCUUUUGUCUUUCCUUAAUGACUUAUGGGCAGAUGUUAAUGAAAAUGUGUAUAACAUGAAUUUUUAUUAAGUUUCUGUGUAAAGGAGAUAUGUUAGUAAAAAUACGUAGUGCAUGUAAUUUCAAAAUGUUAUAUUUAUAGUUCAAAUUGGCUUUAAAGAAAGGUGAUAAAUAGGGUCAGAUUUCAAGAACACAUUGAUCAGUUACAUUCCAUCUGAAGAUAUGUUGUUUGCCUGCAUAGCUCAGUAGGGAGAGCGUAGAUCUACAGAGCGGGGGUGGGUGUGUGGGGAGUCAUGUAUUCUCUGUCUAAAAUCAUUAGUCAUCCACAUCUCAUUCAUAUGAGAAAGUUUUGGCAGUUACUAGUGAAGAACAGGUUAGUACUGGUACAGAAUCCAGAAACACUGUUGGUUUACUGCCUGCUGUAAUAUAACUGAAAUACUGUUGGAAACUCUGCCGAAUCCAAAACAAACAAAAGCUACAUAGGGUACCUUUUAUUGGUAGAGGUCAAGUUAGCUCUGGCAUAAAAUCCUGACUGAAAAACUGCAGACAGUGGUGAUAUCAUAGUAGAAGUAAAUGGAAAUAAGUUUGUUUUCCAUGUUUUUGAAAACAACAGAGUCAACUUAAAAUGAAAAAUAUUGCAUUUUGGUUUUGAACUGUUCACUCAAUGAUUUGUCAAAUGGAUUAUUUUAUUAGUGAAAAAUGAAAUAAUCAAAAGAAUUUUCUUUCAGAGAAGGCCAUAUGUGAAUUGGAUAUGUUUGAUUAUUUUCGUCUUUUUAUUUUCCUGUAGGUGAGAGACCCAAGCAAGAAGUCUUGUUCAGGAUUAACCUUGACAUCUCGAGGUUUCCAGUGGUAAACAAAGCUUCUGUUUCAAUUACGUUAAGUGGUGGUGUAGCUUGCCAACAACUUUCAAAAGGAAGAGGUUACAAGGGGAUCCAGAAAAAAGAGCUACUCUACAAAAUCAGGUAAGUUACUUAACAUCUUGGUAUAAUGGCAUACAUAUCUGCUCUGAGAAGUUGUUCACCAGCGUAACGUCUGCUUGUAGAAGAAGUCGUGUACCAUAAUAAAACCAGCUUGGAGAGAUGUUGUUACUGUGGAGAAGUGGAAAUACAUUACACAUUCCGUAACAUUGUCUUUUUAGUCUGUUGCCUAGGAAAUUCAGACUUGAAAAUUUUACUGUGGUUUUCAUGGAUUAUCUUAAAGCAUUUGUACUGACUAUGGGACAGAUACAAAGUAUAUUGCCCCUAGCUCUAAUCAUGAUAGUGCUGAAUGAUGUUGUUGUGAUAAUUCUAUAUAUAUAAUAUGUUUAUGAAUAUAAUUACUAGUAUGUUAAAAUCUUUUAAGGAAAACUGUAUAAAAUAUUGCGUUAAAGAA
rnacentral:misc_RNA from 1 species